GGCAUUAUUAUUUAGGCUACACUUAGUUAUGGAUUUCACUGGGUCUCGAAAUCAUAUUUGAUGUCGCUCAUGAAAAACCAUUUGAAUCCAAAUGAAUCACCCUUGUAACAUGACACCCGAUUUGUGCCAAUCCAGUAAGGUGUUUUUGGUUCGGGUUUUACAAGUCGUGGACGGGUCAGACUUUUUGUCUUGCCCUAGCAGAAAGUAUCUAACUUGUAUCCAAAAUCAACUAACUCAAAAAUUACAAAACAAGUACCAAGUAUAUUAAACUAGUUAUCACUACUAGGUUAUCACUAACUUGUUUUAACAUAACUUCAUGAGCUCAGAAAUUUCAAGAGGUGUCAGGCUUCGUUUCUUUUGAAUUUUGUAGCCAUGAGAUUUGGAAAAGGUACAGCUUGGUCUCUGCCACAGUUACAGCAGAACAAAAGUGUCUCGUUCCCAGACGCACUUCGCCUCAUCAAUUCCUCUGACCCGUCGAAAUGUGUUGCGUACGCGCAGCAGCAGAAUGAUUGUUUUCGUUCUGUAUUCUUCUCUUGCUAAAGACUGUGAUGAUCAUAUUGGUUGGGCUACCGAAGCGUUUGGUUCGGAGCCUAAAGCUGUUAAUCUUUGGAUUGGUAACCGUUAUUCGGAUACUUCUUUUCAUAAGGAUCACUAUGAGAAUCUCUAUGUGAAGACUAUUUGACUUUUUGGGCCGAGGUUUUGGCUUUUGGAGUUUAAUUCAUUUGGGGUUUUGUGGAUUUUUGAUGCUGUAGGAAACUGGAGAGUUUGAUUUGGAACUUGACAAGCCGACUAGGUAUGUUCCUAAACUAGAAGUUCUUGAGAUACCUGGGGUGGUACGCUUUAUAUUCAGCAUCAGUGCUUGUAUUUGUUGUGUCUCAAGGCUAACAAUAAUUUUAUUUUUGUCAAUUGACUUGUUUGAAUGACAAAAAUAAAAUUAUGGAUUGAUUGAGUUAGUAUAAACGCAUGUUAAAGUGAAUUGAUUGAAUGAGUUUAUGUUGAAAUUUCAUUGAUAUUAUGGAUCUGAGUUGGUUUUUAUUUAUGUAGUUUUUGAUGUGGAGAUUCAUGCAGUAGAACUAGUAAGGGUUUAACAAUUGAGUGGUUUUGUUCAUUGGUAUAUACAUGCGUUUAUACUUUUUUUUAAUUUUAUUUAUUGAAUAUUUGUUGUAGAAAUUGGAUAGUGAGAUGGUAAAAAUAAUAUAAGUUGGUUAAUUAUUGUAUAACCACAGCUACAAAAAAAAUAUACAUUUUUGUAUAACUGGUGUUACUGGGUUGAAAUCGAAUAGAGAGAAUGAAACGAAUAACCGCAUACUAGUAACAAUCAUUAUAAUAAUGGCUUUGGGAGUGGUAUUCUCCCUCUAACUAGAAUUUAACAUCUACCAUGUCUUAUGAUGUUAUUGCCUGCUGAUGGCCUGAAAACAAUUGAGGGGAGGUGUGCCACUGCCAAAUACAACAGCUGAAUAAGG